CGUCCCCCAAAUAACUUCUUUUCUUUCUUUCCAUUUUUGGAAACCAACCACACCACUAAUAAUACUUUAUUUAUUCUUACUUUUCACUUUUCACCACUUUCAAUCUACUUAAUAUCUAAAAACACAAAAACAAUGCACCAAAAUAUACACACACAUUCCCGCCCAAUUGCAUUUCAGCCAAUAUUUUUUUUUGUCUUAUUUGCACGUGCUUUGUGCUGCAAAAUUGUGGUUGCAAUAAAUGACUCAAUAAAUAUUUUUACUGUUCAACAACUAUUCAACAUAUCUUUUUGUACAAUUGCUGACAUAUCUAAUACUAUACAUAUAAUUAUUGUGGGGCUCAAAGACAACAAUUAAUGCAGAGCUCAUUAAUACAAAACUUAGCCACCAAGAUACAUUCUUUAUAUAUCCCUCACCAGCCAUAUUUCUUCUGCAUCUCCUUUUCUCCCUCACCGGCCACUUUUCUUUCGGCACUAUCUUGCUUCACCUUGCUUUCUUGCUUCUCUUUCUUUUUCCAUUUUUCUUUCGGCACUUUCUUGCUUCAAUGUGAGCACUCUUUCUAUUUUGCUUCUCUUUCUUAUCUUUCUGUUCUUGCUUCUCUUUCUUUCCUCUUUUUUCUUUGUCAGCUUCUUGCACCUUCUUUUCUACAUUUUAAUGAGCAGCAGCUUCUUGCACCUUCUUUUCUACAUUUUAAUGAGCAGCAGCUUCUGUUUCUAUCUGUAAUAUUGGCAUAUUCUUGCUCUUUUCUCUAAGCUUCUUGCUUCCAAUUUUUAUAUUUUUUUUAUUUCUACCUAAACUUUUCAUUUCUACUCUAAGCUUCUUUCUCACAACUUCUUACAUCAUUUUCUUUAUUUUCUUUCUUUUUUAUAUUUUAGUUUUUUUUGUUUCUAUUUUAUAUAUUUUUUUCUAUUUUACAUAUUCGUUCUUUUCUUUCUUAUAUCUUCAGUUUAAUUUUCCAUCCUAUUUUAUGUGUUUAUAACUACAACUUUAGAUUCUUUCUUUCUUUAUUUUUUUUAUAUCUUCAACUAUAUUUUCUUCCUAUUUUAUGUGUUUAUUUCAGUUUUACAUCUUUAGAUUUCUUUUCUGCACUUCUAAACAAAAAUAGAGCAAAACCCCCCCCUAUUUUCUGCACUUCUAAACAAAAAUAGAGCAAAACAUUACUAUAAUCCCAUAUACAACAAACAGGUUUAUGAUAAUGACGAAAGUGCAAAAACACGUUUGAAAUAUGAAUAAAACAUGCAAAAAGAAACAACAGGUUAUCUGAAUAUGAAAUUUCGAAGAGUUUGCAUGAUAUAUGCUAAAUAAGGUUUAAGUAACUUACUCAGUCAAACAAAGGCAGAUUUCGGAGGUAGCAAAAAAGAAUGAUUUUUUUGUUCUUAUUCUUAAUCAAAAAUAAUUUCAAAGAGGCAGCAAAUAUUUCAAAUGGAUUUGUGUUAGCAACAAGUAAUGAUUUUUAGUUCUUCAUAUGUGCUGCCUCUUUGAUUUUUUUUGAAACAGCAAAGUAAACAAAAUUCCUGCAUUUUCUAUGAAACACGAAAAGCAAGAGCAAAUAGAUCUACGGAGAUCUAAAAAACGACAAGUAACAGUUUCAUGUGUAGAUAUUCAGAGAUCUACGAAAAUGAAAAUCUGAAAAACAAUAAACUAAUAAUGCGAAAAAAAAAUAAGAUGUCUGUAUAGGAAAAAAAAAGAAAAGUGAAGCAAUAUCAUCAAAAAAUACCUAAAUUCGUUCUCAAAUAAAAUUUGUGCCUUGGGUUUUUAAAGAACAAAAUGACAAAAAACAUUGGAGCAUAUGCAGACGAAAAUUUGUUGCUAUUGUUUAAAUGAACAAAAACGAUACUUCAGCAAGAAAAAUUAAACAUGGAGAAAAUUAAAAAAAUUAAAAUUAAAAAACGAAAAACUAAUAAACGAAAAAAAAAAUUAGAUCUUAUUCGGUGUUAAAAAAAACGAAUCUGCAAGCAAAAAAAUUCAAAAUUUAAUAUGGAGAAGUAGGCCGAGAUCUGGAGGCUAGGGCUUGGACGACGGCGGCGGCGUAUCUGUGCAGACGGAGGCAGCGGCGNUACAUUCUAAGAGCAUCCGCAAUGGGGUUACAUGAUAGCUUACAUGAUAGCCUAAUUUAUGAUGGGGGAUCACAUGGUGUAAAGAUGCUGCAGUGGGGUUACAUGAUAGCUUACAUGAUAGCAUCUACUUAAUAUAUAAAAACACAAAAACAAUGCACCAAAAUACACACCCACUUUCCCGCCAAAUUGCAUUUCAGCCAAUAUUCUUUUUUGUCUUAUUUGCACGUGCUUUGUGCUGCAAAAUUGUGGCUGCAAUAAAUGACUCAAUAAAUUUUUUACUGUUCAACAUAUCUUUUUCAGAUUAUUUUUGUACGAUUCCUGACAUAUCUAAUACUAUACAUAUAAUUAUUGUGGGGCUCAAUGACAACAAUUAAUGCAGAGCUCAUUAAUUAAAACUUAGCCACUAAGAUACAUUCUUUAUAUAUCCCUCACCAGCCAUAUUUCUUCUGCAUCUUCUUUUCUCCCUCACCGGCCACUUUUCUUUCGGCACUAUCUUGCUUCACUUUGCUUUCUUGCUUCUCUUUCUUUUUCCAUUUUUCUUUCGGCACUUUCUUGCUUCAAUGUCAGCACUCUUUCUAUUUUGCUUCUCUUUCUUAUCUUUCUGUUCUUGCUUCUCUUUCUUUCCACUUUUUUCUUUGUCAGCUUCUUGCACCUUCUUUUCUACAUUUUAAUGAGCAGCAGCUUCUUGCACCUUCUUUUCUACAUUUUAAUGAGCAGCAGCUUCUUUUUCUAUCUGUAAUAUUGGCAUAUUCUUGCUCUUUUCUCUAAGCUUCUUGCUUCCUAAUUUUUAUUAUUUUUUUAUUUCUACCUAAACUUUUCAUUUCUACUCUAAGCUUCUUUCUCACAACUUCUUACAUCAUUUUCUUUAUUUUCUUUCUUUUUUAUAUUUUAGCUUUUUUGUUUCUAUUUUAUAUGUUUCUUUCUAUUCUACAUAUUCGUUCUUUUCUUUCUUAUAUCUUCUAGUUUAAUUUUCCUAUCCUAUUUUAUGUGUUUAUUUCUGAUUAACUACAACUUUAGAUUCUUUCUUUCUUUAUUUUUUUAUAUCUUCAACUAUCUUUUCUUCCUAUUUUAUGUGUUUAUUUCAGUUUUACAUCUUUAGAUUUUUCCCCCCUAUUUUCUGCACUUCUAAACAAAAAUAGAGCAAAACCCCCCUAUUUUCUGCACUUCUAAACAAAAAUAGAGCAAAACAUUACUAUAAUCCCAUAUACAACAAACAGGUUUAUGAUAAUGACGAAAGUGCAAAACACGUUUGAAAUAUGAAUAAACAUGCAAAAGAAACAACAGGUUAUCUGAAUAUGAAAUUUCGAAGAGUUUGCAUGAUAUAUGCUAAAUAAGGUUUAAGUAACUUACUCAGUCAAACAAAGGCAGAUUUCGGAGGUAGCAAAAAAGAAUGAUUUUUUUGUUCUUAUUCUUGAUCAAAAAUAAUUUCAAAGAGGCAGCAAAUAUUUCAAAUGGAUUUGUGUUAGCAACAAGUAAUGAUUUUUAGUUCUUCAUAUGUGCUGCCUCUUUGAUUUUUUUUGAAACAGCAAAGUAAACAAAAUUCCUGCAUUUUCUAUGAAACACGAAAAGCAAGAGCAAAUAGAUCUACAGAGAUCUAUAAAACGACAAGUAACAGUUUCAUGUGUAGAUAUUCAGAGAUCUACGAAAAUGAAAAUCUGAAAAACAAUAAACUAAUAAUGCGAAAAAAAAUAAAGAUGUCUGUAUAGGAAAAAAAAAGUGAAGCAAUAUCAUAAAAAAUACCUAAAUUCGUUCUCAAAUAAAAUUUGUGCCUUGGGUUUUUAAAGAACAAAAUGAACAAAAACAUUGGAGCAUAUGCAGACGAAAAUUUGUUGCUAUUGUUAAAUGAACAAAAACGAUACUUCAGCAAGAAAAAUUAAACAUGGAGAAAAUUAAAAAAAUUAAAAUUAAAAACG
rnacentral:lncRNA from 1 species